rnacentral:misc_RNA from 1 species
GUGAAUCAUCGAAUCUUUGAACGCAAAUUGCGCUCUCUGGUAUUCCGGAGAGUAUGCCUGUUUGAGGGUCAGUUUAAAUAAAAAUCGGUGUGGUUUCGGCCUUUCUUGGUGACGCAGCUGGUUGGGGUUGUCUUACCUGCUGUUAAGUGACCGAAAAUUUUGCAUAAUUUUUGCGAACGUAUUUAGAUGAGUUUGCGUACGUUUGCGAUA